rnacentral:rRNA from 1 species
UACGUAGGGGGCAAGCGUUAUCCGGAUUUAUUGGGCGUAAAGCGAGCGCAGGUGGUUUAUUAAGUCUGGUGUAAAAGGCAGUGGCUCAACCAUUGUAUGCAUUGGAAACUGGUAGACUUGAGUGCAGGAGAGGAGAGUGGAAUUCCAUGUGUAGCGGUGAAAUGCGUAGAUAUAUGGAAGAACACCAGUGGCGAAAGCGGCUCUCUGGUCUGUAACUGACGCUGAGGUUCGAAAGCGUGGGUAGCAAACAGG